CCUACGGGAGGCAGCAGUGAGGAAUAUUGGUCAAUGGGCGCUAGCCUGAACCAGCCAAGCAGCGUGAAGGAUGACUGCCCUUCGGGUUGUAAACUUCUUUUAUAUGGGAAUAAAGUGCAGUAUGUAUACUGCUUUGCAUGUACCUGAUGAAAAAGGAUCGGCUAACUCCGUGCCAGCAGCCGCGGUAAUACGGAGGAUUCGAGCGUUAUCCGGAUUUGUUGGGUUGAAAGGGAGCGUAGGCGGGUUGGUAAGUAAGUGGUGAAAGUUUGCGGCUCAACCGUAAGAUUGCAGUUGAUACUGGCAUCCUUGAGUACAGUAGAGGUAGGCGGAAUUCGCGGUGUAGCGGUGAAAUGCUUAGAUAUCGCGAAGAACUCCGAUUGCGAAGGCAGCCUGCUGGACUGUAACUGACGCUGAUGCUCGAAAGUGUGGGUAUCGAACAGGAUUAGAUACCCGAGUAGUC
rnacentral:rRNA from 1 species